UACAGAGGGUGCAAGCGUUAAUCGGAGUUACUGGGCGUAAAGGGCGCGUAGGUGGUUAGUUAAGUGAGAUGUGAAAGCCCUGGGCUUAACCUGGGAAUGGCAUCUUAUACUGGCUAGCUUGAGUACUGUAGAGGGUAGUGGAAUUUCCGGUGUAGCGGUGAAAUGCGUAGAGAUCGGAAGGAACACCAGUGGCGAAGGCGGCUACCUGGACAGAUACUGACACUGAGGCGCGAGAGCGUGGGGAGCAAACAGG
rnacentral:rRNA from 1 species